UUAGACGGAUAAGAUGAUAAAAGGCUUAAACGGUCGGGUCGGAACUCCCUCAAGUCAACCCAGUCUAGAUAUUUUGAGAGUGGUUGAAUAGAGGCAAGAGAGGGAAUCCCCUCUCCCAUACAAGACACUUUGGAGUGCUUUAAUGGUUUUGCUCAAAAGGACUAAAGAGUAUUUUAAACCAAGAGUAAUUGUUCCGGGUAUGAAACAAUGUGCUUCGGAUGAAGGCCCUUUCGUUGAAGUGGAAGAUCUAGCUUGCUUUGAUUAUAUGAAGCCCAAGAAUACCUGCACACGAGUAAGAUCACUAGCCUCGGGGGUGCUUCCGAGGAAAUCCCUCUGAUGCUUAAGUAAGCACUUGGUUCGGAUCUAGAGAGAGUUCUCUAGAGAAUUGUAAUUGUGAAUGCAAUAAAUAAACGUACCUUGAUAUGUGCGCUAGGGUGACAUAUUUAUAGUGUUUGUGUAGUAAAUGCAGCUAGGGCUUUACUACAAUUGGGCGCGCCUUGGGUCGCUUAAAUGGAGCGUAGAGCCUAUGAGUGAGAGAUGACUUUAUGCAGUGUUAGCCAAGUGCGCUUUUGGGCAGCAAGCCCAAUUGGUAGCCAAUUGGGUACCCAGAUAACUUGCCCCCAGACCCAUUUCAUUUAGAAUUUAAUGAAUGGGUAUCCAUAUGCAACUUGACGGUUUUGAGGUCCAAAAUUUCCGCCAUUUGAUUCAAAAAGUCAUUUUGAAUUUGUGCAUUUAUGACAAUUGUUGAUCGUCGCUUCAGCUCCAACUGAUCAUGCGGUGCAAAACUGAAUGGAAGUUAGGCGGUUUUUUGGGCUGCUUCCCUAUAAAUACCCAGUCUAGCGCCUUAUUCUACUUUUUUACUUUACCGCUCUUUCGAUUUUUUCUCAAAUUCAGGCGAACUUGCUCUUCGGAUUUCAUAGAUGUUCGUCUUGCUGUUGGGAUUUUUCUUCUAGACACCUUUCUUCAUUCGUCUUGUCGGCGGAUUCCGCUUUCGAAGAAGGUACUCUUUUUGUUAAUUUUUCACUUUUCUUCGUUUUUCUCUUCUACCCCACCAUCUAAACCCUAGAUUUAGAGUUUCCGGUGAUGGCUAGAGAUAGUAUAGAAGUAAGAAGAAGUUUGUUGUUGAGACCUCUAGUGAGAGGGAAGAGGAGGAGAUUCCUUUGGAGAGACGAAGGAAGGUUUCUCACGGGCAUGGUGCUUUGGGAAGCACCGCUGCUGCUGGUAGAUCUAAGGGUAAAACUCUUGUUGAUUCGGGCAAGAAAACAUGUUCCUCUGGGCGGUAUACCAUUCGCUAUGAAUCCUCUGAGGGGUUUUAUCGCGGUCUACACUCGUCAUUUUGAGUAUGGACUUCGGUUCCCUUUGGAUCCCUUCGUUUCCAACGUUCUGCUUGGAUAUAACAUUAUCCUUGGCUCAGCUGACGUCGAAGUCGAUGCGACAUAUCAUCGGCUUCCGAUGGGUGUGUGAUUUUCUAGAGUUCCCGGUCUCGGUGCCAAUUAUCAAGGAGUUGCGCGAGCUGGUGCAAACAACCUGUACGGGAAGCCCUACCGGCAAGCCGGUAGGACACCCCUUAACAGCUGCGACGAAAUUCUUCCGUUGUCGGUGUUGAUGGACACGGAUGGUGGAACAUUGUGAAUAAGAGGGCCAAGAAAAGCCAGUCGUCUUAUAUCACAGUCUAUCUUUAUCUUUUUUUGAUAAGAAAUUGAAAGGGCAAUGGCUUCUUGUCCGUGUUCCUACCAAUCCAAAGCACCCCAACCUUUACAAGCCGCCAAAGUGGCAUGUUGCAGUUGAUCAAAGAAUGUCGGGAAUGGGCUCUCCCAACCGCCUUAGCACCGAUUACACUUACCUUCUCUAAUGGUACUUGGCUAGGACCUAGUGUCUUAAGCAUCCCGAGCCGGAGCACUGGCUCCAGAAUAUGCAUUAUAUUUGUCGGGUGGUUAUCCUUGCUGUUGUCGGUCUCAACAACAUUUAUGAUAAGGAGACUGGUCUUAACAAUAUUGACUGGAGAGUACUUGGCAUCACUCGAGAGCGUAAACGUAUUUAUUGUCGUAUCCCUUACUAUAAUUUCUGCAACGCAAAUAUGAGGAAUCCGAAGUUAGAGCAACAUCAACUUUCCGAGGAUUCAUUUGCUCGGAUCAACGACGUGUGAGCCGACCCUUGGGAUUCUGCAAAUCCGGGUGAUGUAGUUCCUUUGAACUUCGCUCUUCGUGAUCUUGCGACAACUUCGGAUCCAGUCCUGCCGUUUCUGCUGCCCCGCGUGAUACUCCGUCUGCUUCAUCUCCCGCUCAAUUGAACAUCUAUGUUCCUGAAGCUCAGAUAACAGUACAUAUGACAACACUUUUACCCAUCCAUUUAAGUGGUCACCUAACUUUUCUAUAUCAUUUCAUUCUUUUUGAGUAGUCAUGACAAAUUUUUAUACAACAAUGACAGUAUUUAUACAACAUAGACAACAAUUAUACAACAUUGAUACUCCCUCCGUUCCUAAAUACGUGUCCACUUUGGACAUGUACACGGUAAUUAAUAAAAUUGAAUGGUGUGUAAGAGGUAAUGAUUGGGAAAGGAAAAAGUAGAUAAUUGUUUAUUGAUAAAGUAUAAAUAAAA